rnacentral:lncRNA from 1 species
UGAGUUGCUUAGGGCUUAAUCAUCCUAAUUAGGGUUUCCUUGUUAGAUAACCCUAAUUGCCUAACUAUAUAUAAGACCCUUAUGACCCAAAAACGUGGGGAAGCUUUAUUCUAGGGUUAGAACACGUUUUAGGCAGCCUCCAUUCUCUCUCCUCUUCAUCCUCUUGCUUGUGGUGUUUGUGAACCAUUAGAGGAGUGACAAUUGUGACUCUAAGCUUUCUAAAGUCAAUACAAGGAGAUUUGGGAUUGUUAUUGCUACAUAACAAUCAAGGUAACAUCUUAAACCUAUUUUCAUGUUAAUAUGAUUACUUGAAUGCUACAAUUAGGGUUUAUAGUCUUGGAUAACUUGCAUGUACAAUAGAGAAACCUAGAUCCAAGCAUUAGGGUUUGUAUGAGCACAUAGGAUGUUCUUAGGACCAAAACCCAUCAGUGGUAUCAGAGCCUAGACUGGUUUCAAUUGUAUUGAUGCAUUGUAUAUCUGAAAAAUUCGAUUUUUGGUGUUCUGGAGGCUGAACUUGCCGAGUCCAUAGCUGAACUCGCCGAGUCCAAGCUUGACUCGACGAGUCAACUCGUCAGAUAGAGCAUAUCUCGGGAUUUCUUGUUGUUUUUGCUUUGGGAUAGUUACCUUAUCACAUUAGAUCAAUAUUAAUCCGAUUUUAUGAUAUAUUUGACUAUAUUUUUGAUCUAAUUGAAGAUAUUUAUCAAUUAAUAAGAUAAUUGUUUCCUUAUGUGAUAAUUGAUUAAUUAUUUUGAUUAAAUUGAUAAAUUGUUUUGCAAGAAAUCAUUAAAUAAAUCAAAUAUGGAUAAUUAUGUGAUUAAAUGUUAAUUUAGAUUAUUUGUUAUUUGAUCCUUGUUGUUAUGAAAAGUUUCAUAUUUUCCCCUUUAGGUUUUAUAGUUUAAAUUUGAACCCAAAAGUUUUGUUGUUUUGAAAUUUAAAUAGUUAAAACCCUAAUGUUUUGAAAAAGGUUUCAAAACUUGCCCUCAAGUUUUGGAAUUUAAAUUUUGAUUAAUUGUUUAAUUUUGAUGUAUAUUUAAAUUCUAAACCCUAAUGUUUUGAAAUGUUUCAAAACUUGCCCUCAAGUUUUGGAAUUUAAAAGUUGAUUAAAAGUUUAAUUAGGAAUGUUAAAUUCUAAAACCCUAGUAUUGUUUUGAAAAAGUUCAAAUCACACCCUUAUGGUUUUAUUAAUUAAUUAAGGUGUAUAAUUAAAAGAGGUUUAAUAAAUCCAUAAAAGUUUAGGUUUACAAUUUAAUUGAAUUAAAAGUAUAAUUGUUAAAUUUGACCACCUAAUAUUUUAAAAGUGUAAAAUACACCCUAUACUAUAUAUAACAUUAAAAGUCUAACAUUAUAUAUAUGUAUGAGUAAAAGUCAGUCUUACCGUUAGUAGGCCUCAUUCACGAAGCUGGUCUAUAAGGGGUGUUUAAGGAAAUUGCCUAUAAAAUGGCGAUUGAAUGGGUAUCCACUCUUACCCACCGCACUCUUGACUAGUGGAGGGUCGUUAGCCGAACGGGUAGGAUAGGACGAAACCUUCCAUUAUAAGUAUAAUGAAUUAUUAAAGUAACUAAAUGUUUUCAUAAAAUUCCCAAUCUUAGUUACUUAGGCAAAAGUGAAUUGAUGCAAUUCCAUGAAAUUACACUUUGUGCCCUUGCGAAGACGUUAGUGGAGCGUGUGUGGUUAACCGGCACACUAAAUGGUUCUAAGCAAAGGUAGCAAAGGGUGACUCAAUGUUUGUCAUAGUUCGGUGGAGCGUGUGUGGUUUACCGGCACAUCGAAUAGGUGACUGUAACAUGUGAGGGCACCAUGUAAGUUUGCAUGGUUAUUCACACCCGCUUUGUGAUCCUCGGCAUCCCAGUCACAAACAAGAGGGGCAUAUCGAGAUUUAAACAUGCCAUUGAAAGUUCAAUGAAUCUCAAAGGAUCUAGGAGUUUUCAUAGAUUUAAAACUUAAAUUUCUUUUUCGUUUUUCAUGGUGGAAAUUAGUGAAUCGUCAUUCACUUACCUUCAAAUAUUCUGCAAUUAGGGUUACGGCAUCCCUCUCCCGAGUUGUAGAAUAUUGUGUUGGGUCCUAGCCUUAGUAUCUCAUUUGGGUGAUUUACUAAGGACUCAAUCAAUCAACUAACUUGAAUUCGUUUUCUCCCGUUUUGUAGAUGUCAAAGUUCGACAACUAUGGUCUUCCCAAAUCCCGUGGAACAAGCAUUCCACAUGAAGAUGAUAUUCCACGAUUCGAUCGAGGAACAAGAAAUCAUGCUUCACUUCCUCCUCCUCCUCCAAUUAUUCUCCCUAACCCACAAGUUCAAAGGCUUGAAAAGUUCAAGAUCACUCAAGCCCUUUUGGCAAGUAAACAUAAAGAAGGAAAGUCGGUGUGUGCACACGUCCUAGGGAUGAAGUCACACAUUGAUAGGUUAAGAAUGUUGGGAUCCGUUGUCUGUGAGGAAAUGGCUGUUGAUUGGGUUCUUCAGUCACUUCCUAACUCAUAUAGUGAGUUCGUAAGAGAGUACUAUAUGAUGAACCGCGACGUGACCCUUAUAGAUCUCACCUAUAUGCUUAUUGCUGCUGAAUCAGCAAUGGUUUGGCGCAAUAGAAAAGCAAAGUUGAUUGGUGAAUCUGCCUUCAAGACCUCUAUGGAUAUAGACAAUGGCAACGAAAGACAUGCUAUGAUCGAAAAGUUUGAUCAUAAGAGAAAGGCAAUGUCUGAAGUAGUUCCAUGUCAUGUUCCAAAAGAGUCAAUUUGCUUUUAUUGCCAAGAGAAAGGGCAUUGGAGACGAAGCUGCCCCAUUUACCUAAGAGAUCUAAGAGAUGGGAGAGUCGAAACGUAUGGCUCUAAUAUAGGUAAAAUCCAUUAACUAACUCUUUUAAGCUUCUAUUCUAGAUUCUUAAUACAUAAUGUGAUAAGAUUACAAUUGAUGUUUUGUAGGAUCGAAGAAAAGAAAGGAAGCUUAAGGGAAGAAGUGAGCAGAAUCUAACCGUGAAGGAAUGGAUUUCGAUCGCAUUUCUCGAAGAUUAGAUUCUUGAGCUACUACUUAGAGUUAGAAUUAGAUUGCUAAGAAAGAUGUAUUAGCAUAGUUUUUCAAUGAAUUGCAUUGUAAGGACAAAUUUUUUCCGCAAUAAAAUAAAUUUUGAUUUUAUAUUAUUUAUUUAUCCUUGCAAUGGCGUAUAUGAAAAAUUGAUGUUUGAAUGUUUCUAUUAUUAGCAAUAAUGGAUUUGGUUCUUAUUAUGUUAUUUAUGGAAAGUCGAGAAUUUACCAAAUAGGGAGAGUUUCUCAUCGCCCAAGUUUCAAUUGGACAGAAACUUGGAAUCAUGCAACUUGGUUGCACGAUGAAUGAGAAAUUUCAUAUUUGGAAAUUAGACUAAUUCAUUGACAAAGUGUCAAGUGAAGGACUAGGAGAUCGAGUACACAAAGUUGCGUGUUGAUCAAGUCCACCAUAAGAGUAACAAAGAUAUUCGUCAUGAUUUACUAAAGGUUUAGUAAAUAUGAUUAUACUUACAAGAUUAAGUGUAAUUCUGAAUUGAUUGAAAAAGUUUAAAUCAAUAGCAGAACGAAUAAGAAGAAUCAAGUAGGCAGAAAGAUAAAAGUUUCUCCAUUCUAAGAAGAAGGGAGAGUACCUUUUAUGCUUUAUGAUAGGUCUUAAUGAUUAAGAACCAUAUCUCAAUUGAUCCUCUAAGUGAGUCUUAGUACAAUUGUAUGUCUAAGAAGAGGAAUCAAGAAUUGAAGAAAUGGUUAAAUCAAGAAGUCAAUCAUACUUCGUUCCAAAACAAGUCUUAGAGUUAAGAUUGUGACAUUGAGUGAUAAGUAUUAAGAAGGUUUAUAACAUUCAUCAAAUGUGGAAAGUUGUGAUGUCUUGGAUAAGACAAAGACCAACUAGGACCAAUUUAUGAAGUGUUUUGAUAAAAGCUACACUAACUCUUGAAUAUUUGUUUGUCAAGAAAUGUUUAUUGACAAGAGAAUCUUAUAUGUCAAGGAGUCAGUGGGAGUCUUAAUGGUCUUGAAAGGUUUCAAGAACAAAUCAAAUAAACCUUAUCGAUCAUCACUAGCACACGAGUUGAGGUUUACAACCUAUCGUGUUGACAUUAUUUUGUUUCUGUGCCAAUCCAAUCGAGUUAAUUAUGCAUGUGAGUUCUAUGAGUUCUCAUUUUGAACGCAUAAAAGGCAAAGCACCUUAAUCAAUGAAAGGUACAUUGAUAGGAAAGGGUGAGCUGCUUAACUACUUGGAAGACAUGGUGGGCAGCUGUGCUACCAUAAGGCAAGAAAUCAAGAUUAAGAAAGUUCGGUCCAUAUGAGUUUGAAUUUGUCGUAAACUUUGGUUUUGACAAAUUCACAUGGAUAGGAACACAUACACCGUUUAAAUCUAAGUGUCAUAAGAUUUCCUCCUUCAUGAAAAUGAUUGUGAGGAAAUGCUUUCACUAAGAAAGAUUUUAAGAAGAUAGUGAUUGUAAAAUUGCAUUCUCGAAUUCGAUUAUGGUUACGGUAUCCCUUUCCAUAAUUUGAAUUGUGAGGUUUGGCAAUUAGUCUUAAUUGUUUAGACACACAUAUGAACUAUCGAAGGCAAAGGUGUAUAAGUUCAAGAAGCCUUGAUAAAAGAUUAUCAAAGCACUAAGUAUUAGAAACAUGAACUUAAGAAAUUCAAUAAGUAUUGUUUUUCUGAAAGUUAAGAUGUUUAUGAAUACAUGUCGAAGCUAGUGGGAGCAUAAGUGUUAUGUUUUAUAAUAAUCAUCAUGAUAGUGGGAGCAUAAAUGUUAUGAUUGUAUGAUUAUUAAGGAAAGUAUUGCAAGUUGGCAAUAUUAAUUAUAGAAAACAAGAGUCAUUCUUUGCAAAGUUGUAAGGAUGGAAUAGUUGUUUUGCUAUAAUUAAGGGAGAGAAUAUUAUGCUUCAUUUCAAAUCUAAAGGCUUAGGUUGAGAAAUGUUAAUAAAUUUAGUCAAAGGUACAUAGUGUGUUCUUAAAAUUUCGAUUAUGAUUACGGCAUCCCUCUUCACAAUUCGAAUUUUGAGAACAUAGCAAAUAAAACAUUAUGCGUCGUGUCCCAUACGCUUCGGGUAUAGGAUCGAUUGCAAAUGCUUUAAUGUUUGACCAUUCUAAAAUUUUCCAAAUGUCGAGCGCAUUUAGAGGGAAAAGGGACUAGAAUUGGUUUUGACUAAAAUAAUUAAACAACUAUCAAAGGACAAUCCAAAGUUCGACGAGGAUUGGUCGCUUGUGAGUAGUUGGAAGUAUAGUAUUGGAAAAUAUGGAAAUGUUUCCAUAUUGGAUGGACCAUAUCGACAUUAUUAUGAAUAGAUAAGAUUCUAUUAAGAAUGAGUUGUCAUAUGGAAAAUAUGGAAGCGUGUCCAUAUUGGGAAUUGAAUAUUGAAAAUCUAUGUCUAGAUUAGAAACUUUUAUGCAAAAGGAUGUUCAAAGGAAUGUACUUUGAGUGAGAGACAUCAUAUCUAAGGAAUUGUCUUGUAACAAUCUCCGAUAGAGGACUUUGUAAUAUCAUUGGCAAUAGUCUUUGUGACUUUGGUGCAGUGACAUUACGAAAGGAUAGUUGCAUAGAAUGUUAGAAUCUAGCAUAUUCUAUAAGUAGCAAGAAUUUGAUAUUCUUUCACUUAUGAAAAAGGAUUUGGAGUUGUGAAAUGAGAAUGAUUGGAAAUGUGUUCAAUUUGAUCUAUUUCACAAAGUAAGAACCAUAGGUAAACAUUGUGUGCAUGCUAGGAGCAUGGGACAAGUGUUGUAAUUCAAGUAAGAAGUUGAUUACCCGAAACGACAAAUAAUGAGUAAUCGAUAUGGUGAUAAAUAAAAGGUGUUUUAUUUAUACUCAAAGGUUUGAGGCCAUAUGGGAUUAGUAUUAUUCUUGUGUUUCACAUUUGCAUGUUUUGACUUCCAGAAUAAUUGAGUUUAUUAAGAAUAAUCGAAUUAUUCAAACGGGCCACAGUCGUUCAUAUGUUGGAAGUAGAUAUGAAUGAAGACUGUCGUGAAUUGGUGUGUGGAUUGUCUAAAAGAGUAUUAGACAUAAGCAAAUGUUUGCUGCAACGUUCAUGAGUGCUUAUGAAUAUGAUUUGAGCAUUGGAUUAAACCCACGCUCACUUGGAUCACUCCAUGAAUUGUAUCACGAGUGAUUGGUGAGACGAUAACAUCUUAUAUUCUUGAAACCGAGAUGUGUGAGUUGUAUCUUGCAAAUCGGUUGCACAUUGAUAAUAUGUAAACGCACUAGUAACUUGGUGUUAUAAAACAUAUUGUUGUGUGUGAUUCGGUGAGUGAGUGCAAGCAAGCAUUGUAUCAAAGUUUAUCCGUUCCUUUUAUCCAAAGUAGGAUAAAAGCGAUAUCUUUGGGCCCCUCGAUGAUUUAGUGAUGACAAACGUAAAUGCUCGGCCGGGCUAGGGCUAAUUUGAUUUGUUCAAUUAGUCAGUCGUCAUAAAUCGGAAAUCGAGAUAUAGUACAAAGAGAAUGAUUUGAAAUCAUAUCUCAUAUGAUAUCUAGAAUGGAGGAAUAUAUGAUCCCUUAUCUAAGGACACGCGUAUCUGAUAUGAUCAGAGUUGACAGCGGCUUUGGAAAGCUACGAUUGCAGAUCAGGAUCUGAAGUCAUACGCAUAAUAGUUAUUAGACUUAUCCAAGUGGGAGACUGUUGGAUUAGUGUCUAAGUCCAUAACUAUUUUGGUAUGUACUUGACCCGAUGGUGCAUGGUCCUUUUGGGUUGCCUUCACCAAAGCAACUUGAUAGGAUGAAUUAUGGAGAGAAAGGAUUAAAUAUGAUUUAUUAAUAUAUUAUGAGAAUAAUAUAUUAAAGGAGAAAUCAUAUUGUUUAAUUAAUAUUAGUCAAUAAUUGAUUGGUAAUUAGUUUUGUGACUAAAAGAGAUUAAUUAAACUUAAGGGACUGGAAUUAUAAUUAUAAGAUAAUUGCAAUUUGGGCUAUGGAUUGUCUUAAACUAAGGAGUGGACGAAUUCUAUGGGGAAGCCCAUAAGAAAUCAUCCAAGGCCUUAAAGAAAGGAGUCCAUGGGUUGCUUAGGGCUUAAGCAUCCAAAUUAGGGUUUCCUUGUUAGAUAACCCUAAUUGCCUAACUAUAUAUAAGACCCUUAUGACCCAAAAACGUGGGGAGCUUUAUUCUAGGGUUAGAACACGUUUUGGGCAGCCUCCAUUCUCUUUCCUCUUCAUCCUCUUGCUUGUGGUGUUUGUGAACCAUUAGAGGAGUGACAAUUGUGACUCUAAGCUUUCUAAAGUCAAUACAAGGAGAUUUGGGAUUGUUAUUGCUACAUAACAAUCAAGGUAACAUCCUAAACCUAUUUUCAUGUUAAUAUGAUUACUUGAAUGCUAGAAUUAGGGUUUAUAGUCUUGGAUAACUUGCAUGUACAAUAGAGAAACCUAGAUCCAAGCAUUAGGGUUUGUAUGAGCACAUAGGAUGCUCUUAGGACCAAAACCCAUCAAUUGGUUGACC